AGAGUUUGAUCAUGGCUCAGAACGAACGCUGGCGGCAUGCCUAACACAUGCAAGUCGAACGAGACCUUCGGGUCUAGUGGCGCACGGGUGCGUAACGCGUGGGAAUCUGCCCUCUGGUUCGGAAUAACUCAGGGAAACUUGAGCUAAUACCGGAUAAUGACUCCGGUCCAAAGAUUUAUCGCCUGAGGAUGAGCCCGCGUAGGAUUAGCUUGUUGGUGGGGUAAAGGCCUACCAAGGCGACGAUCCUUAGCUGGUCUGAGAGGAUGAUCAGCCACACUGGGACUGAGACACGGCCCAGACUCCUACGGGAGGCAGCAGUGGGGAAUAUUGGACAAUGGGCGAAAGCCUGAUCCAGCAAUGCCGCGUGAGUGAUGAAGGCCUUAGGGUUGUAAAGCUCUUUUACCCGGGAUGAUAAUGACAGUACCGGGAGAAUAAGCCCCGGCUAACUCCGUGCCAGCAGCCGCGGUAAUACGGAGGGGGCUAGCGUUGUUCGGAAUUACUGGGCGUAAAGCGUACGUAGGCGGCUUUGUAAGUUAGAGGUGAAAGCCCGGAGCUCAACUCCGGAACUGCCUUUAAGACUGCAUCGCUAGAAUCCGGGAGAGGUGAGUGGAAUUCCGAGUGUAGAGGUGAAAUUCGUAGAUAUUCGGAAGAACACCAGUGGCGAAGGCGGCUCACUGGACCGGCAUUGACGCUGAGGUACGAAAGCGUGGGGAGCAAACAGGAUUAGAUACCCCCGUAGUCC
rnacentral:rRNA from 1 species